GAUGAACGCUGGCGGCGUGCCUAAUACAUGCAAGUCGAGCGAACAGACGAGGAGCUUGCUCCUCUGACGUUAGCGGCGGACGGGUGAGUAACACGUGGAUAACCUACCUAUAAGACUGGGAUAACUUCGGGAAACCGGAGCUAAUACCGGAUAAUAUAUUGAACCGCAUGGUUCAAUAGUGAAAGACGGUUUUGCUGUCACUUAUAGAUGGAUCCGCGCCGCAUUAGCUAGUUGGUAAGGUAACGGCUUACCAAGGCAACGAUGCGUAGCCGACCUGAGAGGGUGAUCGGCCACACUGGAACUGAGACACGGUCCAGACUCCGAGGGGAGGCAGCAGUAGGGAAUCUGCCGCAAUGGGAGAACGCCUGACGGAGCAACGCCGCGUGAGUGAUGAAGGUCUUCGGAUCGUAAACCUCUGUUAUUAGAGAAGAACAAAUGUGUAAGUAACUAUGCACGUCUAGACGGUACAUAAUCAGAAAGCCACGGCUAACCACG
rnacentral:rRNA from 1 species